CACGUAGGGGGCGAGCGUUGUCCGGAUUUAUUGGGCGUAAAGAGCUCGUAGGCGGCUCGGUAAGUCAGGUGUGAAAACUCUAGGCUCAACCUAGAGACGCCACCUGAUACUGCCGUGGCUAGAGUCCGGUAGGGGAGCAUGGAAUUCCUGGUGUAGCGGUGAAAUGCGCAGAUAUCAGGAGGAACACCAGUGGCGAAGGCGGUGCUCUGGGCCGGAACUGACGCUGAGGCACGAAAGCGUGGGGAGCAAACAGG
rnacentral:rRNA from 1 species